CGAGGACUCCUCAGCUCAGCUUCUCAAAAUGAGGCUCCCUGCUCAGCUCCUGGGGCUGCUGCUGCUCUGGAUCCCUGGAACCAGUGGAGAUGUUGUGAUGAACCAGACUCCUCUCUCCGAGCUCGUCACUCCUGGACAGCCAGCCUCCAUCUCCUGCAGGAACCAGCAGGGAUACAGUGAGGAUGCAGUUUCCACUCUCCCUGCUGACACCCUUGACUCCCUGCCUUCAUCUUGGGAAGGAUCAGAGUCGGAAAAAUCACUCAAGAGGGUGGAAGUUUGUGCCUUGGUGAUGAAGGUGAUUCCUAGAUAAUAGAGCUCCUGGCGAAUGUAACUGAAAUCCCAAAGUCCUAUUUGUGAUGAGUAUUAAAUUUAUAUGCAAAUAUUUAUU